UUUACUGUUCCCUUGUUAAUCUGUCUUUUGUCAGUGUAAUUUACGGGGCCCAGCCACUGAACCUAAGCUGGCUAAAGGAGAAAAAGACAAGUUUUUCCUCUCCUCCGGCAGCAACGUGAAACCUUCCAACAAAAUUCAAUCUUCCCUUCAAAAGCACUGUUUCCGUGCUUAUCAAACACCUGUGCUCCUGAGAAUCAUGUGACAGUGACCAGAGAGAGAGAGAAGAUGGAAGAGACUUGAGAGCAAAGAAGGGGAGAGCAGGCUGGCUGCUUUUACUGCUCCAAUCUUGUUCCUUCAACGUCCAGUUACACAGGCAACAAAUAUUUACUGUGCAUCUACUUUGUGCCAGUUAUGAAGCUAGGUGCAGCUCUUUACUCUUAGCCUCAGCUGGCCACAGAUGGAAAUAUUUUCUGAAAAUGGAAUUUCAUAACUAUCGAUUCCUUAUAGCAUUUUAAAAAUAUUUUAGGCUACGAACCAGUUUUGUUUUAUUAAGAAAUUUCCAACUAUGUUUUCCUUGGGCAGUUAAAAGAUAGCCAACAUAACCAUUUAUCAAAGGGAACUUAUUUAAUUGCCUUAAGAGAACAUAGUUCAGGGUGGUCAUCAUUGGUACGUGAUAUCUUUCUGGUCCUUCAUUUAUACAAUUUACAUUGUUUAUUAUUCAUACAAUGUUGAUUGGUACAUUGAUUAAUGGAAACAUCUGUAUUACAACAAGAGUAGAGAAAGUAGCAUGCAAAUAAAAUUCUUCUAUCAUA